rnacentral:tRNA from 1 species
AGAAGUGUCUAACACUGGUUUCGGCCCGGUUAAAGGUGUUUAUCAGCACCCACUUCUA